AAUAGCAUGGCGCAGCUACACAUGCAAGUCGAGCGGCAGCACGGGUACUUGUACCUGGUGGCGAGCGGCGGACGGGUGAGUAAUACCUAGGAAUCUGCCUGGUAGUGGGGGAUAACGUUCGGAAACGGACGCUAAUACCGCAUACGUCCUACGGGAGAAAGCAGGGGACCUUCGGGCCUUGCGCUAUCAGAUGAGCCUAGGUCGGAUUAGCUUGUUGGUGAGGUAAUGGCUCACCAAGGCUACGAUCCGUAACUGGUCUGAGAGGAUGAUCAGUCACACUGGAACUGAGACACGGUCCAGACUCCUACGGGAGGCAGCAGUGGGGAAUAUUGGACAAUGGGCGAAAGCCUGAUCCAGCCAUGCCGCGUGUGUGAAGAAGGUCUUCGGAUUGUAAAGCACUUUAAGUUGGGAGGAAGGGCAGUUACCUAAUACGUAAUUGUUUUGACGUUACCGACAGAAUAAGCACCGGCUAACUCUGUGCCAGCAGCCGCGGUAAUACAGAGGGUGCAAGCGUUAAUCGGAAUUACUGGGCGUAAAGCGCGCGUAGGUGGUUCGUUAAGUUGGAUGUGAAAUCCCCGGGCUCAACCUGGGAACUGCAUUCAAAACUGACGGGCUAGAGUAUGGUAGAGGGUGGUGGAAUUUCCUGUGUAGCGGUGAAAAUGCGUAGAUAUAGGAAGGAACACGAAUGGCGAGGGGGACCACCCGGACUGGUUACUGAC
rnacentral:rRNA from 1 species